rnacentral:rRNA from 1 species
GAGUGAACGUUGGCGGCGUGGAUUAGGCAUGCAAGUCGAGCGAUCGUAGCAAUACGGGAGCGGCAAACGGGGUAGGAAUACAUCGGAACGUACCCUCUGGUCGAGGAUAGCGUCGGGAAACUGACGGUAAUACUCGAUAAAGUCGAGAGACCAAAGGUUUACUGCCGGAGGAGCGGCCGAUGCGAUAUUAGGUAGUUGGUGGGGUAACGGCCUACCAAGCCUGAGAUGUCUAGGGGGUGUGAGAGCAUGGCCCCCACCACUGGGACUGAGAAACUGCCCAGACACCUACGGGUGGCUGCAGUCGAGGAUCUUCGUCAAUGGGCGAAAGCCUGAACGAGCGACGCCGCGUGCGGGAUGAAGGCCCUUGGGUUGUAAACCGCUGUCAGGGGGGAUGAAACCGCAAGGUUGACAGGAGCCCCAGAGGAAGCACGGGCUAAGUUCGUGCCAGCAGCCGCGGUAAUACGAACUGUGCGAACGUUACUCGGAAUCACUGGGCUUACAGGGUGCGUAGGUGGCUUGUUAAGCAGGGUGUGAAAUCCCUCGGCUCAACCGAGGAACUGCGCUCUGAACUGGCGAGCUGGAGUAUGCUAGAGGUGUAUGGAACAUCUAGUGGAGCGGUGAAAUGUGUUGAUAUUAGAUGGAACACCGGAGGCGAAGGCGAUACACUGGGGCAUAACUGACACUGAGGCACGAAAGCCAGGGGAGCAAACGGGAUUAGAUACCCCGGUAGUCCUGGCCGUAAACGAUGAGAACUGGGCGGGGG